AUCUUACUAAUUUUCUUAUCUUGUCUUCCAGAUGCAUGUUUUGUAGAUGGUGAAUCUCAAGUGAAACUAAGAACUUUGAGUUGUCAUUACAUAUAAUUGACUAUCGUUUCCAAUUUUGAUAAUGGUUUUUGUUUCUGGAUGAUACAUUUCAAGUACUCGCCUGAGCUCUCUUCCUUUCUGUGCCCCUAUCUAUCUAUGGUUUAAUAAUCCU
rnacentral:misc_RNA from 1 species